rnacentral:misc_RNA from 1 species
UCCGCUUUAUCUGCGGCAGUCCCUCUAGAUAUGCAACUAGAAACAAGGGUUGCGCUCGUUGCGGGACUUAACCCAACAUCUCACGACACGAGCUGACGACAGCCAUGCAACAUCUGUGACACCGUCCCGAAGGAGGCCCCUCUUUCAAGAGGUUGCGAUGCCAUGUCAAGCCCAGGUAAGGUUCUUCGCGUUACAUCGAAUUAAACCACACGCUCCGCUGCUUGUGCGGGUCCCCGUCAAUUCCUUUGAGUUUUAGUCUUGCGACCGUACUCCCCAGGCGGGCCACUUAAUGCGUUAGCUUCGGCACAGGAGGGGUCAACUACCCCCCACACCUAGUGGACAUCGUUUACUGCUAGGACUAC